rnacentral:rRNA from 1 species
UACACACCGCCCGUCACACCAUGGAGUGUUUCAUUUAAGACGUGACUCUAACCGCAAGGGGAGAGCGUCUACAGUGGGAGCGAUGACUGGGUG